GUGGGGAAUCUUGCGCAAUGGGCGAAAGCCUGACGCAGCCAUGCCGCGUGAAUGAUGAAGGUCUUAGGAUUGUAAAAUUCUUUCACCGGGGACGAUAAUGACGGUACCCGGAGAAGAAGCCCCGGCUAACUUCGUGCCAGCAGCCGCGGUAAUACGAAGGGGGCUAGCGUUGCUCGGAAUUACUGGGCGUAAAGGGCGCGUAGGCGGACAGCUUAGUCAGAGGUGAAAGCCCAGGGCUCAACCUUGGAAUUGCCUUUGAUACUGGCUGUGUUGAGUUUGGGAGAGGUGAGUGGAACUCCGAGUGUAGAGGUGAAAUUCGUAGAUAUUCGGAAGAACACCAGUGGCGAAGGCGACUCACUGGCCCAAUACUGACGCUGAGGCGCGAAAGCGUGGGGAGCAAACAGGAUUAGAUACCCCAGUAGUCC
rnacentral:rRNA from 1 species